rnacentral:rRNA from 1 species
GCUGAGGGUGGGCAAGCAGGCGGGUGAUUAUGAGGGGGGGGAGAGUUAAAUGGAUUGCCUGGGCGUAAAGCGUGCGUAGGCGGCUGAUUAGGUCGGAUGUGAAAUCCCUGAGCUUAACUUAGGAAUUGCAUUCGAUACUGGUCAGCUAGAGGAUGGGAGAGGAUGGUAGAAUUCCAGGUGUAGCGGUGAAAUGCGUAGAGAUCUGGAGGAAUACCGAUGGCGAAGGCAGCCAUCUGGCCUAAUACUGACGCUGAGGUACGAAAGCAUGGGGAGCAAACAGGAUUAGAUACCCCAGUAGUC